CGAAAAGCUGUGACAGAAAGCAGUAGCGAAAUGUGCUUAUUCAAGAGAGCCUGCGGUUGGUGCAAGCAGGCAUAAGACGUUCGUGAAUCCAUUCUGGAGCGGGAAUCCGAAAUCAAAGUAAGAUUCCACGGGCAGGCACCGUUAUGCCUUAAGCGGAAAGUACACAUGUGCUUUCAACCAGGGUGGUAUCGCGGGCUUCAACUCUCGUCCCUUAU
rnacentral:ncRNA from 1 species